GCACUGCUGAAGAGUCCCACAACAGGACGAAACGACUGACCAGUGC
rnacentral:hammerhead_ribozyme from 1 species